UACGGAGGAUGCAAGCGUUAUCCGGAUUUAUUGGGUUUAAAGGGUGCGCAGGCGGAAUGGUAAGUCAGUGGUGAAAUCUCCCGGCUCAACCGGGAAACUGCCGUUGAUACUGCCGUUCUAGAGUACAGUUGGGGUGGGCGGAAUGUGUCAUGUAGCGGUGAAAUGCUUAGAUAUGACACAGAACACCGAUCGCGAAGGCAGCUCACCAAGUUGUAACUGACGCUCAUGCACGAAAGCGUGGGGAUCAAACAGG
rnacentral:rRNA from 2 species